GCACCCGGACCGAGUUUUUCCUCUCUUCUUCCUCCUGAACCAAACAACUGAUUUGACGGUGGAAGAUGCAGCCAAGACUUCAGCUUCGGAAGAUCAGAGCAAGACGGAGUCGAACCCUAAAUCAAUGCAAGACGAGUUCACUUGGAAAGGGGGUGGAAAGGUCGAUUUGGUCCUUACUGUUAGCUGGUGGAGAACUGAAGUUGUUUUUAGCCUCGGUCUUAUGGGAUAAGAAUAACCAUGAGAUUUGCAAGUCACCGGCUCACAUCGACAUCAGAAAACGAAGAGCCUGGCCUGUUGAAGAUUUAAGGAUUGUGUUCUAAGGUGAGAUACUGUGAGAAGCAGAGAAAGAAGAUGCACAAAUAUGGGAUGUCUCUCAAUUUCCCUUCUUUAGAAAAAAUCUGAGCUUCAUCUAUUCAUCUAAAAGUUUUUACAUUGUAGUUUUUUGCACAAAUAUGAAAUGGGAUUAUACACUUCUCUUCUCUUA